UGCAGAACAGCUCAGAUGGUAGAGCACAAGGCUCUUAAUCUUAGGGUCGUGGGUUCCAAACCCACGCUGGGCAA